rnacentral:rRNA from 1 species
GUCCACGCCGUAAACGAUGGAUACUAGCUGUUGGGGGCAACUUCAGUGGCUAAGCGAAAGUGAUAAGUAUCCCACCUGGGGAGUACGUUCGCAAGAAUGAAACUCAAAGGAAUUGACGGGGGCCCGCACAAGCGGUGGAGCAUGUGGUUUAAUUCGAUGAUACGCGAGGAACCUUACCAAGGCUUAAAUGUAGAUUGACAGGUUUGGAAACAGACUUUUCUUCGGACAAUUUACAAGGUGCUGCAUGGUUGUCGU